CGCUGGCGGCAGGCCUAACACAUGCAAGUCGAGCGCGCCUUCGGGUGAGCGGCGGACGGGUUAGUAACGCGUGGGAACGUACCCUUCUCUACGGAAUAGCCUUUGGAAACGAAGAGUAAUACCGUAUACGCCCUUUGGGGGAAAGAUUUAUCGGAGAAGGAUCGGCCCGCGUUAGAUUAGAUAGUUGGUGGGGUAACGGCCUACCAAGUCUACGAUCUAUAGCUGGUUUUAGAGGAUGAUCAGCAACACUGGGACUGAGACACGGCCCAGACUCCUACGGGAGGCAGCAGUGGGGAAUCUUAGACAAUGGGCGCAAGCCUGAUCUAGCCAUGCCGCGUGAGUGAUGAAGCCUUAGGUCGUAAAGCUCUUUCGCCUGUGAUGAUAAUGACAGUAGCAGGUAAGAAACCCCGGCUAACUCCGUGCCAGCAGCCGCGGUAAUACCGGAGGGGUUAGCGUUGAAGCC
rnacentral:rRNA from 1 species